UCCUAUACUAAAAGCACGAUAUAGAGUGAUUUUACAGUGUCCACGUCGACAAAUUUAUUCAGCCAAUCAAAACAUUUCAAUAAUACACGUAUGAUCUCCUAAACUGUUGCUUUUGUAUGGGCUUCAAUGUGGUUUUACUGGGCUUCGUCGGUUUCAAUUUACCGAUACAAUUAGAAAAAAAAAACCCGAGACGGAUAACACGAUGCUCUCUCCUCUAUCGCUUCGUCUUCACCGUUUCCUCUCCAUCCUUUCAGUUUUCUCGAUCCUCAUAUUAUAAAUAUUCGGCUUUAAGGAAUUCGGAGAAGGAAAGAAGGAGACCAUAUUGACAGACAUGCAUUUGAAGAUCUUCACAACCACAUCAAGAGCUCGGCGGUGAUCGUGACGGAGCCCGAUUUCAACGCCAAGAUCUGCCACUUCUCUGCCACUUCGGCACCGUGCAGCUCUGCGGGGAAACAGACGGAUCGAGAGAUUCCAAAGCCGUUAGAUUCGAAGGAGUGAAAGGAUACAUGUCGCCGGAUUUUCAGGCUUCGGGGGUUGCGACUCAGGAAUCAGACGUGUUCGCCUUCGGAGUCAUGAUGCUUGAGCUUCUCUCCGGCGAGGAGCCGUUGAAGUAUACGUAUGAGAAAACUGUCGGGGAUUUUGAACGGACUUUGGUGAUUGAAACCGCGAAAGCGGUGGUUGACGGCGGAGAUGGUGGUGACAUAGGGGGCGGUUGAGGAGGUGGAUGGAUCGGAGGUUGGGGGAUUCGUUUCCGGUGACGGUGGUGGAGAAGUUAAUGCGGUUGGCGUUGGAGUGCGUCGAGGAUGAGGCGGUGAACCGGCUGGAGAUGGGAAGAGUCGCCGGAAAGAUAUCGCAAUUGUAUUUGGAAUCGGAGAAAUGGUUGGCGAAUAUGAAGACUUCCUUUCCAGGUUUCAGAAGUCUCAUUUCUUUGUUAGGAUCGCAGAGUCUGGUGAGCCGCUUUGGUCAAAGAAACCUCUGUGUUGGGAGAUACAAAGCUAGAGGAAAAGCGGGAAAAAGAGACCUUGUGUUAGUGCUUUUUUAGAUAGAGGAGAGUUUGAUCUUAAUGUUGCUGGAGGUGCAGCAAGAAGUAAGGCAAAAUGUUGUGCCUUACCCAAUGGAGACACAUGAUGGUAAUUCUUAUAAGUUGUUGUUUUAACCUACUGAUUCUCACACAAUGUCUUUAUUUGGAAGGGUGAAGGUCUCUUUACAAGUUUAUAUCGCUGACUGUCCCAAAGAACCAAUCAUUGAGAUACUGCAGUUUGAGAAGCAUCAAGACAUGGACCAACUUUCUGAUCAUGAACACAAUGAUCCAUAUGGGAACCUUUUGAAGUGGUUGAUACCGUUGGAUAACACUAUUUCUCAGCAACCCCGUUACCUCCUAUAAGCUCUACCCCAGAUAUCAGCAGCAGUGCACACAAGCCAUUACUCUCUUCUGGCUCAGGAUCUCAGCUCUUCUCAUUCGUCCAUUUUAGAAGCUACUCCAUGUUAGCUCUGCCGGCGCCGUGUUUAUAGUUUCUGUACGUAUGUGUUUGUGGAAGCAGUGCACACAAGCCAUUACUCUCUUCUGGCUCAGGAUCUCAGCUCUUCUCAUUCGUCCAUUUUAGAAGCUACUCCAUGUUAGCUCUGCCGGCGCCGAACACUGCACCAGUUACUGGACCCGUAAAAACUGAAAGCUCCAAACCAUCAUUUGACCUUGAAGACUGGAACUGUUACUCAGGUCAAACAUUAUGGAACGGUCACAAGUCUGGGACUGAAGAGCUCUUAUCUUUCCGGGGUGUCCCUUUGGAGCGGGAUAAAUUCUCUGUUCGUUGUGGACGUGAAGGCAUAUGCAUUCCUGGUAAGAAGAUGGAGGAAGAAACUCGAAAUCAUUCAACCUAUUGAUAUCAAUUCUUUUACAGCUGAUUGUAAUACAGAUAAACAUUUAAUAUAAAUAGUUUUAAAUUUUUAUAAUAAAUUCUAAUGUAUAUAUGUAACAUGGUCAUAUUUAAUAUAAUAUGGGUAUAUUUUGUUAACUC